rnacentral:rRNA from 1 species
CGCAAUGGGCGCAAGUCUGACGGAGCGACGCCGCGUGAUUGAUGAAGUCUUUCGGGAUGUAAAGAUCUUUUAUGUAGGAGAAAGUUUUGAUAGUACUACAUGAAUAAGGGGUUGCUAAACUCGUGCCAGCAGCAGCGGUAAUACGAGUACCCCAAGCGUUAUCCGGAAUUAUUGGGCGUAAAGGGUGUGUAGGUUGUUGUGUUAGUCUUUUGUCAAAGCCUUCGGCUCAACCGGAGAAUUGCGAGAGAAACGGCACAACUAGAGGGCGCGAGAGGUUUGCGGAACUCAUGGUGUAGGGGUGAAAUCCGUUGAUAUCAUGUUUAAUACGACUCACU